rnacentral:rRNA from 1 species
GAUGAACGCUGGCGGCGUGCCUAAUACAUGCAAGUCGAGCGAACAGACGAGGAGCUUGCUCCUUCGACGUUAGCGGCGGACGGGUGAGUAACACGUAGGUAACCUACCUAUAAGACUGGGAUAACUUCGGGAAACCGGAGCUAAUACCGGAUAAUAUUUCGAACCGCAUGGUUCGAUAGUGAAAGAUGGCUUUGCUAUCACUUAUGGAUGGACCUGCGCCGUAUUAGCUAGUUGGUAAGGUAACGGCUUACCAAGGCAACGAUACGUAGCCGACCUGAGAGGGUGAUCGGCCACACUGGAACUGAGACACGGUCCAGACUCCUACGGGAGGCAGCAGUAGGGAAUCUUCCGCAAUGGGCGAAAGCCUGACGGAGCAACGCCGCGUGAGUGAUGAAGGUCUUCGGAUCGUAAAACUCUGUUAUUAGGGAAGAACAAACGUGUAAGUAACUGUGCACGUCUUGACGGUACCUAAUCAGAAAGCCACGGCUAACUACGUG